rnacentral:lncRNA from 1 species
GAAGGUUCCACAAGCAUUCCAUGGAGAUGGCGAGUUCAGAAGGUGCUGCAAGGGUCUGAUGGUGUGAUCAUGAAGCUGCUCUCCCAAGCUUGACUUGUUCCAUAUGGUCAAGCUUGAGGGGGAGUGUUGAGAAGACUUCAAUGAUCACAAAGAUGCUGGUUUACGAAGGUGGACAGCAGUGAGCAAAGAUGGAUGAUCAAGAAGCUCUCCUUCCAAGCUUGACUUGUUCCACAUGGUCAAGCUUGAGGGGGAGUGUUGAGAAGGCUUCUUGAUGAGAGCACUUGGCGGUUAAUCAAGAAGAGGAGCAGACUGGUUUGUGAAGCAAGAUGGAGGAUGGUGAAGCAAUCACCAAGGCGGCCAAAG